UACAGAGGUCUCAAGCGUUGUUCGGAUUCAUUGGGCGUAAAGGGUGUGUAGGUGGCGCGCUAAGUCGGGUGUAAAAUUUCGGAGCUUAACUCCGAAACUGCAUUCGAUACUGGCGUGCUUGAGGACUGGAGAGGAGACUGGAAUUUACGGUGUAGCAGUGAAAUGCGUAGAUAUCGUAAGGAAGACCAGUGGCGAAGGCGGGUCUCUGGACAGUUCCUGACACUGAGACACGAAGGCCAGGGGAGCAAACGGG
rnacentral:rRNA from 1 species